GAUGAACGCUGGCGGCGUGCUUAACACAUGCAAGUCGAGCGGAAGUAUAGAUAAAGCUUGCUUUAGAAAUACUUUAGCGGCGGACGGGUGAGUAACGUGUGGGCAACCUGCCUCAUACAGUGGAAUAAUCAUGUGAAAACGUGACUAAUACCGCAUGACAAUUCCGGAAGGCAUCUUCUGGAAAGAAAAGGAGCAAUCCGGUAUGAGAUGGGCCCGCAUCUGAUUAGCUAGUUGGUGAGAUAACAGCCCACCAAGGCAACGAUCAGUAGCCGACCUGAGAGGGUGAUCGGCCACAUUGGGACUGAGACACGGCCCAAACUCCUACGGGAGGCAGCAGUGGGGAAUAUUGCACAAUGGGGGAAACCCUGAUGCAGCAACGCCGCGUGAAGGAAGACGGUUUUCGGAUUGUAAACUUCUAUCAAUAGGGACGAAAAAAAUGACGGUACCUAAAUAAGAAGCCCCGGCUAACUACGUG
rnacentral:rRNA from 1 species